rnacentral:rRNA from 1 species
AAUGAACGCUGGCGGCAGGCCUAACACAUGCAAGUCGAGCCGGUAGAGAAAAGCUUGCUUUUCUUGAGAGCGGCGGACGGGUGAGUAAUGCCUAGGAAUCUGCCUGUUAGUGGGGGAUAACGUUCGGAAACGGACGCUAAUACCGCAUACGUCCUACGGGAGAAAGUGGGGGAUCUUCGGACCUCACGCUAACAGAUGAGCCUAGGUCGGAUUAGCUAGUAGGUGAGGUAAUGGCUCACCUAGGCGACGAUCCGUAGCUGGUCUGAGAGGAUGAUCAGCCACACUGGAACUGAGACACGGUCCAGACUCCUACGGGAGGCAGCAGUGGGGAAUAUUGGACAAUGGGCGAAAGCCUGAUCCAGCCAUGCCGCGUGUGUGAAGAAGGUCUUCGGAUUGUAAAGCACUUUAAGUUGGGAGGAAGGUCUGUAAGCUAAUAUCUUGCAGUCUUGACGUUCCAACAGAAUAAGCACCGCU